rnacentral:rRNA from 1 species
CGCGUAGGCGGCCUGGUAAGUCUGGAGUGAAAGUCCUGCUUUUUAAGGUGGGAAUUGCUUUGGAUACUGUCGGGCUUGAGUGCAGGAGAGGUAAGUGGAAUUCCCGGUGUAGCGGUGAAAUGCGUAGAGAUCGGGAGGAACACCAGUGGCGAAGGCGACUUACUGGACUGUAACUGACGCUGAGGCGCGAAAGUGUGGGGAGCAAACA